rnacentral:lncRNA from 1 species
CCCUAACUCAACCCCGCCUAUUGGAGACGGACUGCUGAAGCCCACCCCCGAGCCCCAACACUAUUGGAGGAAGCAGGGAAGCUCUUCCUGUCUCAUUGGAGGACACCACAUAACCCGCCCUGCAGCGUCUCAGCCACAGGCCUAACAAGUUGGCUCCCGCCUCCGCCGGUCAUCGCAUUGGAAGGCUACCCCUGGCUCUCCCACCGCCCCAGUAAGAGACUGAAGCUCGGAGUUCCAGGCCCCGAGAUAGGAGGGGGAGCGGAGCUCAUCAGCGGAGACUCCACAUCCUAGGAUUUGAAGGAAAGGCAGCCCACCAUGGAGGACUCCCUUACAAAAAAAAUGAAAGAAUGAGAACUCAUCCUUCCGUCCAGUUAUCUUUACAGUUUACAUUCUACACACUGCGUCCCUGUAAACACAAAUAUCCGGAGCAGCUGGCAACUCCUUUCAGCCAAGUAGAGUACAGAACUAAGGUCUGGAGACCUAGGCGGAGAAGUAAACUCCCUAGAGCUGAAUAUGCAGUCCUAAGAGGGCGGAGAUAACCAAAAGAGAGGCGGGCUCCAACAGCCACCGCCCUGGCAAGCCUCCGGAAGGCGGAGCGUGAGGCACAAGGUACUCACGAUCUCCCGGGUGAAUCUGGAGGCAUCCUCAGAACUGAGAAAGGAGAGGAAAACACCAAAACAGGCCACGGCAUAAAUUAACCUUGGGGACAUGCCACACUCAGAGAAUGGAUAAAAUUUUCGUAGUUGG